UGCGCGAAUCUCUAUCAGUCGGCGACGGAGUUGCCUGGUGGUUGCACCGUGGGUAGUAAGUGCGCGCGUCGACGCGAUCAGCUCGAUUCGAUUAAACUCCGUCUGCUACGCUGCAGCCCUCGUUCUCCGCGAAUAAGAACAAGAAACCUCAACGAAAUAGUAAAUCUGCGAAAUACGGCGGCUGCUCGAUGAUCAUCUUUUCUUGUCAAGGGAAAGACGAAGAAGCUAGGGAUGAAGAGAACGAUGAUUCGAGAAAAGACAGUUGUCUAUAUCGCUAUCAGCGAUGUCGUAUGACAAAAAUAGGCGACAAGUGGCAAACAGUUGAGACGUUCUUCUUGACAAGGAUAAACCAAUCACAAAA
rnacentral:lncRNA from 13 species